GCGAGGCACGAAGGGCCGCUCAGGGCGCAGGCCCAGAUCCCUGAGAGGUCGGCAAGGGUGGAUCCCUUCCUCAGGUGCCGGUUUUAUUCCCAACGUCGGGCCUCGGUUUUGUUUCCUCCUUUCGCGUCUUUCCCGGACCCGCGCCCUGUGGAGAGAUUCUCUUCCCCCUUUACCCCCUGUCCGGGCCGCAUCUGGCAGGAGGCUUCUCGGAAGCUGACACAUCAUCCCUAGGUACAAAGAAAUCAUAUUUCAGGAAGAUCAAUUCAAAUAUUUGUUUGGCAUUUAAAGGAAUUUUAAGAAAGACACUGUAUUUGCUCAGGCUCUCAAUUUUUCUGGCCUGAAUUUCCACCAAAAGCCCUUCAACUCUUCCCUCAACCUCCAAUCCUACCCGCUCCAGUCUACCUCCUCCACCCUACAGCUAGAGUGAGCUUUCAUUUUAUGGAUCUAAUCCCAGUCACUUCUCCGAUGAAAAACUGCAAUGGAGCUCAUUAUAGACAAGGUGAAAAUUUUUUGGCAUGCCAUUAAGCACCUUUUAAGAGUGGGUGUCUCUCUACUCUCCAUC